AAUGUUAAAUAUGGUAUUAGCAUAACCCUUCAAAUCUAACUAAAAAUGAUUCUCUUAAACAAAUAAUUAUUAGUGUGAUUAGAAAAAAAAAAUCCGUGAACUGACCUUCCCGAUAUUAAUUACUGGCGGAUACUGUUUUAAGGAAACUAUCAUUUGGUUUUUGAUUGGCCACCAAAUCUAGUACUCCCAACAUCAGACAAUCAAAACCCUCCAUCUGAUCCUCCAAAUACAUCUGACGGCUGAGAAAAUAUUGUGGGGGCGGGGGUGAUUUGGGUCAAUAGUGAUGAAUGAACGUGGGACCUAGGAAGGAAGAAAGGACGAGGCCCCGACAUGAUGUUGGGUGACGGUUGAGGAUGUCCCCACGUGAGUGCGUGAAACCUCCCCACGCGUCCCUUCCAUAAUGAUUUACUACAGACUAGCCGGAAUACCCUUCAUGGGUUUAUUGAUUGUAAUAAAAUAU
rnacentral:lncRNA from 1 species